CUGGCGCUCCUUGUCUCUGCCUCUUCUCAGAGCUUCCGGCUGGGCUAGAGGCUGAGCACCUUUGGGAACAAGAUUCAAGGGAAUGUGAGCACAGUGCGAAGUGUAUUUAAAAGCAUGUUGUGAUGUGCACAUUUGUAAUAACUUUUUUUGUUGUAACAACCAUUUGUAAAACAUUCCAAAUAAUCGACAACUUCAAAGCAGAAGUCUGAUUCCUUUCUCACUUUGGAAGGUAACUCAGCCUAAUGCGUAGUGCCCUCUGCAGAAGAGGGAAAGAAGUAAGGGCAGCUGCCUCACCAACAGCCGAACAGCCCAGGGAAAGGCUCCACUGUAGGAAACCUGUGCUCUGCCCCAAGCACCAGCCAAACCAGGAAGGUGGUCUCAGGAGGAGUUAGCCAGAAACAAAAACCGCGCUACUCAGGUUUUGAGCUUUAAGGAAAGCACCAGAUCUACAGGAGCAACAGGCCUUUCUGUGAAACGGGAAACAGACAAAAAGAAACCUUAUUGUAAAACGUAUUUUGGUCCUCCAAGAAGAGAGCAACUGGAUUGCUGAGCCAGGUCGCUGAGGAGGAGCUGAGGAACUGAGCUGUGGGCCGCUGGUAUCACCAUCCCUGGGCCUCCAAGGAGGAGCUGAGGAUCUGACCAUCUCCCCCUCGCCCUGGCCUCUAGCAGCUGGGCUGCACAGAUACCUGGAUCCACACCACAGUGGUGCAGGGGGUCAUAAAGGACAUUGUUCUGAGCUCCAGAAGAUAGAGCAGAAGUGAAAGAGGGCCUCUCUGAGGAUCCUUGAUGAAAA